UUUUCACAAUUCACAACGAAAUGCCUCCAGCUGUCCAUCACCACUGUAAAUAUAAAGAGUGGUUAUAGAGGAAAAAACGUCAGAAAGCAAAUUCAGUUGAUGUGGAGCAGAAGACAAGAAAGAAGAAGGAGAGGGGCACUUCAUCCCCCUCUCCAAUUCCAUCUGACCGUUCUGAACGGAAUGGCUCCGCUACCUCUGACCCCUCACCCUCUGACCAACUCUCCUCCCUCCAUCCACCUCCCUCUCCUGUUAAAUGUUCCUCUCAGCCUUGCUCUCCUGCUAAACAACCCUCUGUACCCCGGUCACCUGCCAAAAACCCUUCCCCAGUGAAAUCCUCUCCAGUGGUGUCCCAGCCUAGUUCUCCCUCUCCUAACAACCCUCUGGACCGUCAUGGAGACACCAGUCAGGAGGGCACAACAGUCAGACCUCUGUCUCUGCAGGAACACUCUAGUCCAAUGCCCCAGAGACCAGUCUCAGCCACCAGAAACAUGACUCUUCCCAGGACCAGCUCAGCCACCAGAAGUAUGACUCUUCCCAGGGCCAGCUCAGCCACCAGAGGGUCAGAAGAGACCCAGGGGGCCAGAGGAGAACGGGGGGAACUGGUCAACAUGGAACUUCUUGGGUUGCCUAACAUUGGCAACACUUGCUUCCUUAACGCCACCCUGCAGUGCCUCCUGGUCCUGCCUUCCUUCUCAAAGGAAAUCCUGCACCAGGAACAACUCUGGAGCUCCUCCCCCUUCUCCAACCUGCUCAGGUGUCUGUCUGAUGUGCACCGUUCAGGUCUACCUGACAGUGUGGCAAACCAGGCCUCAAAAGCAGACCUCAUGUGGAAGGUCAAGUACUCCUUGUCGGGAUACGAUUUGAAGUAUCUGGGGGACACGCAACAGGACGCACACGAGUUACUCGUCAAUAUGCUGUGCCAGCUGAAGGAGGAGGGCAUGAUUCUGAAGACACUCGGGAUGAACUAUACCUGCCCUGUUUCCCAGCUGGAGUUCCAGCUUGUGUCGGUGCGCANNNNNNNNNNGGGUUGCCAGGUGGUGGUGUCAUACAUGACCGAUGACAUCACAAUGGUCUUAAAGCCAAUUUGAACAAUGGGUUAAUGUGGAAAUGUAUCAGUCUUCAUUGGUUAUCGACAUGGCUUGUUUCUGCUGGUGCAAAAAGGUAUGAAAUCAGGUGAUUUAAUCAAUGAACAACUACUAUAAUUCUGGAGUAGUAUUUUUCUCUUAAACCUAGUGGGAAGAAUAAAAGUAAAAUUACAUUCUGAUUGACAAAUACGUAAAAAGUG
rnacentral:lncRNA from 13 species